GUCGAGCGCAGUCCUUCGGGACCGAGCGGCGGACGGGUUAGUAACGCGUGGGAAUAUGCCCUUCACUACGGAAUAGCCUCGGGAAACUGAGAGUAAUACCGUAUACGCCCUUCGGGGGAAAGAUUUAUCGGUGAAGGAUUAGCCCGCGUAAGAUUAGAUAGUUGGUGGGGUAAUGGCCUACCAAGUCUACGAUCUUUAGCUGGUUUUAGAGGAUGAUCAGCAACACUGGGACUGAGACACGGCCCAGACUCCUACGGGAGGCAGCAGUGGGGAAUCUUGGACAAUGGGCGCAAGCCUGAUCCAGCCAUGCCGCGUGUGUGAUGAAGGCCUUAGGGUCGUAAAGCACUUUCGCCAGAGAUGAUAAUGACAGUAUCUGGUAAAGAAACCCCGGCUAACUCCGUGCCAGCAGCCGCGGUAAUACGGAGGGGGUUAGCGUUGUUCGGAAUUACUGGGCGUAAAGCGCACGUAGGCGGAUUAGUCAGUCAGAGGUGAAAUCCCAGGGCUCAACCCUGGAACUGCCUUUGAUACUGCUAGUCUUGAGUUCGAGAGAGGUGAGUGGAAUUCCGAGUGUAGAGGUGAAAUUCGUAGAUAUUCGGAGGAACACCAGUGGCGAAGGCGGCUCACUGGCUCGAUACUGACGCUGAGGUGCGAAAGUGUGGGGAGCAAACAGGAUUAGAUACCCUGGUAGUCCACACCGUAAACGAUGAAUGCCAGUCGUCGGGUAGUAUACUAUUCGGUGACACACCUAACGGA
rnacentral:rRNA from 1 species